UACGAAGGGGGCUAGCGUUGUUCGGAAUUACUGGGCGUAAAGCGCGCGCAGGCGGUCUUCCAAGUCAGUGGUGAAAGCCCGGAGCUCAACUCCGGAACUGCCAUUGAAACUGUUAGACUUGAGGACGAGAGAGGUGAGUGGAAUUCCCAGUGUAGAGGUGAAAUUCGUAGAUAUUGGGAAGAACACCGGUGGCGAAGGCGGCUCACUGGGCCUUACCUGACGCUGAGGAGCGAAAGUGUGGGGAGCGACAGG
rnacentral:rRNA from 1 species